CGCCAGAAGAAUUUCAAGAGUCGGGAGUCAGCGAGACGCUACCAAGAGUUAAAAAGAAGAAGGACGAAAGUGAAAUGAAGAAACUCUAUUUGCAUUAAUUUUCAUUGUUUCAGGGCCGAGACCCAUACAACUUGGCAAAACGCCAACACACAAAGAAAAGAACAAAAAUACAGAAGGUCAGCUUGGAGGAACCCCCGGGUCGGGAACGCCGGGCACGUCCGCAGGGGGUAGGGAGGCGGUUGGAGAAUCAGCAGGCAAUGGCGCCGGAGAGGAGUCUAGAAGAGAGACCCCACUCAGGUCAAUCCCGGGGUAUUUGGCCGACACCCUUGCCAAGCCUUCAUCGAAGCCUAAGACAAAGGAGUCGGACCCCGUGUCCGACAUGUCACGGACGAACUCAUCGGACCGACGAUAGGCCUGUACCGCCUCCGACAUGUCACGGAUGAACUCGGCG
rnacentral:lncRNA from 1 species